rnacentral:rRNA from 1 species
UAUUGGACAAUGGGCGCAAGCCUGAUCCAGCAAUACCGCGUGUGUGAAGAAGGCCUUAGGGUUGUAAAGCACUUUCAAUUGGGAGGAAAACCUGCCGGUCAAUACCCGGUAGCUUGACAUUACCUUUAGAAGAAGCACCGGCUAACUCCGUGCCAGCAGCCGCGGUAAUACGGAGGGUGCGAGCGUUAAUCGGAAUUACUGGGCGUAAAGCGUGCGUAGGCGGUUCGUUAAGUCAGGUGUGAAAGCCCUGGGCUCAACCUGGGAACUGCAUUUGAAACUGGCGGACUAGAGUUUAGUAGAGGGGAGUGGAAUUUCAGGUGUAGCGGUGAAAUGCGUAGAUAUCUGAAGGAACACCAGUGGCGAAGGCGACUCCCUGGACUAGAACUGACGCUGAGUACGAAA